UCAGGCCUACCGGGGGGCAGCAGUGGGGAAUAUUGCGCAAUGGGCGAAAGCCUGACGCAGCGACGCCGCGUGAGGGAUGAAGGUCUUCGGAUCGUAAACCUCUGUCAGCAGGGAAGAACGGUCACUGUGCUAAUCAGCAGUGAAUUGACGGUACCUGCAAAGGAAGCACCGGCUAACUCCGUGCCAGCAGCCGCGGUAAUACGGAGGGUGCGAGCGUUAAUCGGAAUUACUGGGCGUAAAGCGCUCGUAGGCGGUAUGUCAAGUCAAGGGUGAACUCCCCGCGCUCAACGUGGGAACUGCCUUUG
rnacentral:rRNA from 1 species